UUUGUAGCUGGGAUGGGGGUGGGGUAAGAGUGGAAUUUACGUAGUUGGCACAGAUUGGAGUGUGACCACAGCUGCCAAGGGAAGGAUGGGACAGAGUCAGUCACGUGACAGCCCAGGGGAGGGACAUUCUGGACAGAGAACAGGGUGUCACAUCUGGUUAUUGUUCCCCAGCACCUUAGAGUGAUCAGGAAGCAGCGAGUGGGUAAGUGUCCUUAUACCCAUUUUUAUUGUUGUGUGUAGGAAAGAAAAUGUGCAUAGUGAGGACCUGGCACGUACGGAGGGUUGGGAAAUAAAUGUCCUUAUCCUUCCCUUAUGGCAGUCCCUGUGCUUUUUUGAGGAGUUCCAUAACUACAUUUAAAGUUUUUUGCUGUUAUUAAAAUGUCAGUGUUUUUCUUACUACGUUGCUAAUUUAGUCAGCUAGUUUUCUUAACUAUUAUGAAAGUUUUAUCAAAUAAUAGUUAGGUUGUGCUAAGCCAUUGUUUCCUGAAAUGAAGCAGCUUCUACAGUGUUCUGUCAGGACUCAGUGUGACAGACUCCAAGGUUUGUUUCAUGCCAAGGAUCUCAUUUUAAUGCUAAAUCCGUGUCUGUCCUUAGAAAUAUUUUAAAUUUAUAGCAAGUAUACUUACUAAAGUAUUUGUUUAAAAAUAAGUGUAUUUUAAAUUUUGGUUUUUUAUGGAAGUGUAGUCAGUUUACAAUGUUAGUUUCAUAUAUACAGCAAAGCAAUUCCGCUUUACCUAUAAAAAUACAUAUUUUUAAAAAUGUCUCCCUUUUUGUGGGGGAAUUUAAAGUGGAGAUAGGUGUUUUGAAGUUAAUUCUUUGUUGAAAUUUGAAUAUAAGUCAAUAUUUUGCAUGUGAAAAUACUUGCCCUGGCUUUCCAUGAUCAGUUUACUGAAUCAAAAGCCAAAUGAAGAUAAAAGAUAGAUUUGAUCUAGAGAAUAUAAAGUUUUCUACUUAAAUGUUUGACUUCCCAAGAUAUUCUUCCCUUAUUUUAUGUCUAAUUGCUUUUAAAAUAGGAAUUUUUUUAAAGUUAGGAAUUGCAGGGAUUUUCUUACCAAGGGAUUAGGAAAGCUUUAUACAACUCAUUAUUAAUAUUGAUUUUAACAGAGUAUCUCUGAGAGUCAACCACAGAAGUUUGUGGAUAAUUCAUCUGGAGCUGCAGGUCAAACAGGAGAAAAUACAUUAAGUGAACAAAUAGAAGAUUCUACUGAAAAAUAUCCUCACUUGAAGCCUACAGUUGGAGUGA